GUGGCGCUUGGCUUGUGUCCCAUGAUUUGAGCGACGAUGCCAACAGGUACCUCUAAUCCGUAGGUCCAGAGUUCGAAUCUCUGGCGCCCCACCA
rnacentral:tRNA from 1 species